CCUACGGGAGGCUGCAGUGGGGAAUAUUGGACAAUGGGGGGAACCCUGAUCCAGCCAUGCCGCGUGUGUGAAGAAGGCCCUCGGGUUGUAAAGCACUUUCAGUGAGGAAGAACGCCUGGUGGUUAAUACCCAUCAGGAAAGACAUCACUCACAGAAGAAGCACCGGCUAACUCCGUGCCAGCAGCCGCGGUAAUACGGAGGGUGCGAGCGUUAAUCGGAAUUACUGGGCGUAAAGCGCGCGUAGGUGGCUUGAUAAGCCGGUUGUGAAAGCCCCGGGCUCAACCUGGGAACGGCAUCCGGAACUGUCAAGCUAGAGUGCAGGAGAGGAAGGUAGAAUUCCCGGUGUAGCGGUGAAAUGCGUAGAGAUCGGGAGGAAUACCAGUGGCGAAGGCGGCCUUCUGGACUGACACUGACACUGAGGUGCGAAAGCGUGGGUAGCAAACAGGAUUAGAUACCCUAGUAGUC
rnacentral:rRNA from 1 species